CGAGCGCUCCGCCCAGUCGCGGCUUGCGGACAAAUUGCGCCGCUCCAACCCAACCCCGCCUUGGGAGGCGAUAAUGAUGCUGCCUCCCCUCAUUGCGGCUUCGAAUCCACUCGCGUCACCGUCGUUGUUCCUCCCGUGCAUCGUGUAAGAGCUUCUCAGCGAGAUCCCCUUUUCAAGCUAGCUCCAAGUUGACUGAACGAGGCUAGCAGGCGGAGCAGUAUGACUUCACACAAUUCUAGAUCGAAGCGGAGAGCCCCUGCCUUCAAUCGCCAUCAGUAAAGGCCUAAAUCCCUCGUAGAUGCGACCAAGUUCCAGUCUCAACGGUGACCUCGAAUCCAUUACGCUGCAUCGGCUGACGGCAUCCGUCCUCCGGGAGCAUCAUUGCUGUGUCGCAGGGGCCGUUGUUCUUUGGUGUACUGGUGGCCCGUCGCAAGAUCCUACGCUAAAUAAAAAUUUUCUAAUUUAUCUCAUUUGAUGCUCCGGGCAUGGCUGUUGCCCUCUUGCCAUCUGUGCGCCGUUCUGAAUGGGCAUUCCUAGAUCAGCAGAGACAAAGAUUCUAAGUUUUCAGGUGAUGAGGCCUUUCUGUCGAGUUCUGUGCAAGAUGAGCUCACCUACGAGCAGCCAACGGGGGAAUUGUGCAUUGAUCUGAGUUCAAAACCAGCUGCCACUGAAUGAGAGAAGCUCUAAAUGAUUAUCUCAAAUUCCGGAUGUAAAUGUAUAUUGUUAAUGUUUGUAUUUGGCUAGAAAAAGCUAAUGUCCAUUAGUGUGCGAUGUUUCUAAAUUAUUGUACAAUAUACUUGAACCUUGUUGUUCCUAUUUGUAUCUCGAAAAAUUUAAUGUAUUAUGGUAAUCCACCAUAUCUAUACUGUAAACUCUGGAUUAGUGCGUCCAGUAGACAAAAACAAAGUUAUGACUUAUGUGGAUCACUAUGUUAUUGGCAAGCUAUAGCUCCCUUUCUUA